CCUACGGGAGGCAGCAGUGGGGAAUAUUGGGCAAUGGGCGCAAGCCUGACCCAGCAACGCCGCGUGAAGGAAGAAGGCUUUCGGGUUGUAAACUUCUUUUCUGAGGGACGAAGAAAGUGACGGUACCUCAGGAAUAAGCCACGGCUAACUACGUGCCAGCAGCCGCGGUAAUACGUUGGUGGCAAGCGUUAUCCGGAUUUAUUGGGUGUAAAGGCCGUGUAGGCGGGAAAGCAAGUCUGAUGUGAAAACUCAGGGCUCAACCCUGAGCCUGCAUUGGAAACUGUUUUUCUUGAGUGCUGGAGAGGCAAGCGGAAGGCCGGGUGUAGCGGUGAAAUGCGUAGAUAUACGGAAGAACACCAGUGGCGAAGGCGGAUUGCUGGACAGUAACUGACGCUGAGGCGCGAAAGCGUGGGGAGCGAACAGGAUUAGAGACCCGAGUAGUC
rnacentral:rRNA from 1 species